rnacentral:rRNA from 1 species
UAGGGAAUAUUGCAAAAUGGGCGAAAGCCCGAUGCAGCAACGCCGCGUGGGCGAUGAAGGCCUUCGGGUCGUAAAGCCCUUUUUGAGGGGAUGAGGAAGGACAGUACCCUCAGAAUAAGCCUCGGCUAACUGCGUGCCAGCAGCCGCGGUAAAACGUAGGAGGCGAGCGUUAUCCGGAUUUACUGGGCGUAAAGCGCGUGCAGGCGGAUUGGAGAGUUGGAUGUGAAAGCUCCCGGCUUAACUGGGAGAGGUCGUUCAAUACUUCCAGUCUUGAGUGCAGUAGAGGGAAGUGGAAUUCCGGGUGUAGUGGUGAAAUGCGUAGAUAUCCGGAGGAACACCAGUGGCGAAAGCGGCUUCCUGGACUGUAACUGACGCUCAGACGCGAAAGCUAGGGUAGCAAACG